rnacentral:rRNA from 1 species
UACAGAGGUCUCAAGCGUUGUUCGGAUUCAUUGGGCGUAAAGGGUGCGUAGGCGGCGCGGUAAGUCGGGUGUGAAAUCUCGGAGCUUAACUCCGAAACUGCAUUCGAUACUGCCGUGCUUGAGGACUGGAGAGAAGACUGGAAUUUACGGUGUAGCGGUGAAAUGCGUAGAUAUCGUAAGGAAGACCAGUGGCGAAGGCGGGUCUCUGGACAGGUUCCUGACGCUGAGGCACGAAGGCCAGGGGAGCAAACGGG